AAUACAGCCAAACCAAAGCCUUUUCAGGCCCGAGCUGACCGGAAGACGUUGCCUUUCAUUCAUUCAUUCUGCCCGCGUCUGUGGAGUCCUUUACUAGGCGAGAAGCCCUAGAAGAGAAGUUGGACAUUUUUUAAAGGUCCCUGCGCUCUCCAAGAAGAGGAAAUAGAUGCUCAGGAGUGAACUACCGAGAGAAUCGGAUCUGGCGCCUCCUAACGCAGCUGGCAAAAAUGCGAAGGGAAAAUCCCUCAUGAAGCAAAAGAAGAAGAGGAAGAAGAAAGUUUGAUGCUCCUUUUGUCUCCAAUCCUACACACUCGGUAGGUGCACAGUAAAAAGUACAGGAUGGGUUCCUAUGUUUUUCCAGAAUUUUGACUUAACCUAUGAGCUGUGUGCCUUUGGGGAAAGUGACUUCACCUCUCUGAAUCUCAUUAUGACUUGUACAAUGGGAAAAAUAAUAGAUCGUUGAGGGUAUGAGAUGAGAUCAUGGAACUACUGUCAUAACACUCUGUAUUUCAUUAUUCUGCUUCCAUAUGCUCUGUAGCACUGACCACUUUUAUCACAUAGUUUAUUUAUUUUGUUUCAUUUUUUUCUCCUCCCUCUAGGAUGUAAAUUCUGCAAGGCAAGGGUUUUAUUGUUUCAUUUGCCUCUGUACUCCCAGCCCUGCAAAUAGAGCUUGGCCUGUUAUGUGGAAUCUUAGUUCACAAAUCAGGAAUUGAACCCCACAGCCCCUGCAGUGGAAGGCAAAAUCUUCAACACUGGACCACCAGAGAAGGCUCUCAGAUUUGUUUUAAAAAACUUUUUGCUAGUUGCUGUUACAGAAUGGCUUUAAAAGCAGAGACAUCAGGGAGCAGUUUACUGCAGACCUCUCGGCAGGCAAUGAUGGUAGCCUGGCUAAGAUGGAAGAGGCGAUGCUGGCCACAAGAGCUGAGAUUUUAAGAAAAUGUGGGUUUCCUAAUGGAUUAGAUGUGGUAGGAAAAGGGCACAGUGAGGGGAAGCAAGGACCCAGGGGUGACUCCUAGGGUGAGCAGCACCCCAAUUUCCCCUUCUCUAGGGCCUCUGGAGAGAACCACAGAACCGCAUUGCACUUGACAGUCUGUUCCUGGGAUGCUGGGCAUUUUUAUGUGAUUAGGCUGGAAUAGUUCUCUGGGAAAUAAAUGCCCUCAGUCUAAAAGGCUUUUACAAGCCAGGGCAGGGGAUUAAAGGCGGCCAGGCUGAGGAGAAAUUCCAAGGUCAGGAGACAGCUGGGCAUGGAGACUUUUAAUCUAAACCUUAAACAUUUUUAUUUUUCACUCCCUGAACCCAGGGUGUCACUUUAAAUACGUGUUUGGCAACAUCGGCUGUUCUAUUUUUCUUUUUAAUUAUACAAAAAGAGAUCCUGGAAACAGCUCAGCCCCCAGGCUGGGGGAGGCGAGGAAAGUCUGGCAACAGUUCGAGGAGGCAGACACCAGCUAAAAAUUGAGUGGAUCGAAGUCCCUUUGAAGGCGAAUGGAGACUCUACCCUGAACUUGGUGGGGGGAGCCCUGACUCAGGGUUUCUAAAAGGAGACUGACAGUCACUAGCUUAGAAUGGAGAGAUGACAGAUGGACAAAUCUGCAAGAUAAAAAUAUCACUAACACUAGCAUAGCUCUCGUACCUUGAGUGUCUUCCCAGACCUCUGUCCUCCUCCUUCCUUUCAUCCUCUGAGCAGAAAACACUUAACUAGACAAUUCAUUCACAUUUACAGGCUACUCCCUACUAUAUGCUGGACUCCGGGUUCAACUGUUUGUAUGUGUUAUCUUGGGAUUUUUUUUUAAUAUAUAUUUGUUUGUUUGCUCCAGGUCUUAGUUGCAGCACAUGGGAUCUUCCAUCUUCAUUGUGGCAUGUGCGAACUUUUUCUUUUUUAAGAUUUUUGUUGUGGACCAUUUGUUUUGUCUUUAUUGAAUUUGUUACAAUAUUGCUUCUUUGUUUUUUUUUUUUAAUGUUUCUUUCAUUUUUUUUUUGCCCCAAGGCAUGUGAGAUCUUAGUUCCCCCACCAGGAAUUGAACCCACACCCCCUGCACUGGAAGAUAAAAUCUUAAUCACUGGACCUCCAGAGAAGUCCCAGCAUGCAAACUCUUAGUUGCAGCAAGAGGGAUCUAGUUCCCUGACCAGGGACCAAAGCUGGGACCCUGAAUUGGGAGCUCAGAGUUUUAGCCACUGGACCAUCAGGGAACUGUUGAUACCUUGUUUCAUGCAGAGAGCAGUGUUGUGAGUAGAUAAUCAUACAUAUCAUUAUCCCCAUUUUCUAGAUGGUGAAUCUGAGACUUAAAGAGAUUAAAUAUAACUCCAGUUCCCCAGUGUUGGGCCUGGCCUUGUUUGCCCUCAAAUCCAUUCCUUGCCCUUCCUCUGUUUAGCUCUGUAUCACUGGGAGGCCAACCUCUGCAGGCUGCCAAAAGAGCUGACUUCCUUUAUAGAUCAACGAAUGGGAAGCAGAGAUAGGAGCCUAGUGGGCGGGAAGAAGGGAGAAGCCAGGGUUUUUCUCCCUCUCUCUGUCUCUGGAAAUAGUUCCAGGAGCAGCUGCAUUUCCUGUGUCUCUACCUCCCACCAGACAGUGCCACUAUGGGUCCAGCUUCUACCUGGGGAUUCCAGUCCUUCCUGAGUACCAGAAACACCACCCCCUGCCUUUAUCCAUCCAACUCCAGGGGUGGUGCUGACCUUCCUGCUGUUGCUAAUCUGUAGGUUCUUCACCCUCCCCUGUUUGCCUGCUUCCAUGGUUCUUCUAUUACCUAGGAAGCAAAUGCAUACAUUCCCCUAUUCUAGUGUCUGCUUUUCCUGCUUGGAUUCUCACUGAUUUUCUACCUUUCGUGAAUAGUCACCAUCUAGCCAAUUCAUCUGGUUUGGAAUGACACAAUUCUCUUUCCUUGAGCACAGGACAUCCCAUAAAACGAAAAAUAGUAACCACCGUUUAUUGAGCAUUAUGCCAAUUGCCAGACAAAUGUUCUUUCGUGGAACACUCAUAGCAACCCUUUCUGCCAAAUCCCAUUAAUUACUAUCCCCAUUUGACAGGUGGCGCUCAGAGAGGUUGAAUUGCUUGCCCAAAGGAAUGCAGUUAUAAACCGACAAAGCCAAGAUUUACAUCAAGGGGCUCCUAAACCCAAAGUCUUCGACUUUAUCUAAUCUCGGCUGACAUCUUUUUGUUGUUGUUGCUUUUAAUUUAUUUGGCUGUGCUGGAUCUUAGUUGCAGCAUGUGAGAUCUAGUUCCCUGACCAGGGAUUGAACCUGGGUGCCCUGAAUUGGGUUCAUGGAUUCCUAGCCACUGGACCAGCAGGGAAAUCCCUCUGGGGACAUCUUGAACACACUUGCAACCCCAUGAUAAACCCAUUAGGACUCAAGUCCCUUGGGUGACUGAAGAUCCCUCCUCAACUCAGUCCAGGGUACAUAUAUGAGCUUUCCUAGUGUAGGGCUUCCAUGGUGGCUCAGAUGGUAAAGAAUCUGCCUCCAAUGCAGGAGACCUGGGUUCAGUCCCCAGGUCAGGAAGAUCCCCUAGAGAAGGGAAUGGCAACCCACUCCAGUAUUCUUGCCUGGAGAAUCCCAUGGACAGAGGAGCCUGCUGGGCUACAGUCCACGGGUUCGCAAAGAGUUGGACAUGACUGAGUGACUAACACAUACAGACACACAGGACUGCUAUAACUAUCACAAACUGGACAGCCAAGAACACAGAAAUUUAUUGUCCUAUGUUUUGGGAGGCCAAAAGUCUGAAAUCAAGAUAUCAGGAAGACGGUGAUCCCUCUGAAGCCUCCAAGGAAAGAUCUGACCCAAGCCUCUCUCCCAGCUUCUGGAAGCCCCAGACACUCACUGGCUUGUAGAUGGCCAUCUUCACCCUGUGUCUCUUCAUAUCAUCUUUUCUCUGAGACUCUGCGUGUCUAAAUCUCCUCUUUUUAUAAGCACACAUCAUACUGGAUCAGGGCUUACUAUAAUUAAAUGACCUCAUUUUAACUUGGUUGCCUCUAUAAAGACCCUGUUUUUAAAUAAGAUCAUACUCUGAGGUACUGGGAGUUGGAACUUAAACAUCUUUUCUCGGGGGGAGGGACAUAAUUUAACUCUUAAUAGUCCUUGAUGCAGGUGCUGUCUCUCUACAGUGUGACUGCGUUGGUCCUAUUUUUCUAUUUUUGGUGGCUCUGAGAAGCUUGCAGAAUCUUAUUCCCAGGCCAGGGAUUGAACCCAGGAUCAUGGCAGUGAAAGUACUGAGUCCUAACCACUAGGUAGCCGGGGAACUCCCACUCCUCUUUUUCUAAUGAAGGAGGCUAGAUUUCCAGGAAGACCCUACCUGUUUAAGAGAUUGCGAUAACUUCCAAGUCAUGUUUGUAUUCCAAAAUUUUUAUCCCAACAUCCUACCCCAAAAUAUAUAGAGGGACGUAAAGCACGUAAUAUAGCCAAACCCAUUUUGAAAAAGUAGGACAAAGUUGAAAGACUUAACCUAUCUAACUUCAACACUUAUUUUAAAGGUAAAGAGUCGGACACGACUGAAGUGACUUAGCAGCAGCAGCAGCAGCAAUCAAGAGAGUGUAUACUGGCAUAUUAGAAAAUAGAUCAAUGGAAUAGAAUAAAGAAUCCAGAAACAGA